rnacentral:rRNA from 1 species
GACGAACGCUGGCGGCGUGCUUAACACAUGCAAGUCGAACGGUGAAGGGACCAGCUUGCUGGUUCUGGAUGAGUGGCGAACGGGUGAGUAACACGUGAGUAACCUGCCCCCUUCUUCUGGAUAACCGCAUGAAAGUGUGGUUAAUACGGGAUAUUCUGGGUCUGUCGCAUGGCGGGCCCGGGAAAGAUAUUGCUUCGGUGGGGGAUGGGCUCGCGGCCUAUCAGCUUGUUGGUGGGGUGAUGGCCUACCAAGGCGGUGACGGGUAGCCGGCCUGAGAGGGUGGACGGUCACACUGGGACUGAGACACGGCCCAGACUCCUACGGGAGGCAGCAGUGGGGAAUAUUGCACAAUGGGCGCAAGCCUGAUGCAGCGACGCCGCGUGAGGGAUGGAGGCCUUCGGGUUGUAAACCUCUUUCGCCAGUGAAGCAGGCCUGCUCCUUGUGGGUGGGUUGACGGUAGCUGGAUAAGAAGCGCCGGCUAACUACGUG